GUUGAUCCUGCCGGACCCGACUGCUAUUUGGGUGAGGAUAAGCCAUGCGAGUUGAAUGGGAAACCUAAAGUUCCCAUGGCAAACUGCUCAGUAACACAUGAUCAACUUACCCUAUAGAGAAAAAUAACCUCGGGAAACUGAGGAUAAUGUUUCAUAGUUGAAUUGGCUUGGAAAAGUUUUUCGACGAAAGGGGUAAAAAAAAUGGUUUUUAUCUGCUAUAGGAUAGGAUCGUGUUCGAUUAUGGUUGUUGGUGAGGUAAUGGCUCACCAAGCCGAUAAUCGAUAGGGGCCGUGAGAGCGGGAGCCCCGAGAUGGGUACUGAGACAACGACCCAGGCCUUACGAGGCGCAGCAGGCGCGAAACCUCCGCAAUACACGAAAGUGUGACGGGGUUACCCAAAGUGUUCAAUUUUGAACUGUGGUAGGUGAGUAAUGUUCCCUACUAGAAAGGAGAGGGCAAGGCUGGUGCCAGCCGCCGCGGUAAAACCAGCUCUUCAAGUGGUCGGGAUAAUUAUUGGGCUUAAAGUGUCCGUAGCCGGUUUGGUAAGUUCCUGGUAAAAUCGGGUAGCUUAACUAUCUAUAUGCUAGGAAUACUACUAUACUAGAGGGCGGGAGAGGUCUGAGGUACUACAGGGGUAGGGGUGAAAUCUUAUAAUCCUUGUUGGACCACCAGUGGCGAAGGCGUCAGACUGGAACGCGCCUGACGGUGAGGGACGAGAGCCAGGGGAGCGAACCGGAUUAGAUACCCGGGUAGUCCUGGCCGUAAACGAUGCAUAUUAGGUGAUGGCACGGCCAUGAGCCGUGUCAGUGCCGUAGGGAAACCGUUAAGUGUGCCGCCUGGGAAGUACGGUCGCAAGGCUAAAACUUAAAGGAAUUGGCGGGGGAGCACCACAAGGGGUGAAGCCUGCGGGUUCAAUUGGAUUCAACGCCGGGAAAUCACUAGUGCGGCCGC
rnacentral:rRNA from 1 species